AAAAAUGUAUAAUCUAUUUUUUUUAACAGGAAAGGUCAGAAGUGAUCACCACGUACGCCAUGCUUGGUUUAUCAGCGUUCCCAGCCAUAGGCUUCUGUAUGGGAACUUUGAUACCCAUGUGCCCUCACCGCAAACCGGAUGUGGUUGACCUCGUCAUCAGUGCCUUCGUCGCCGGAAAUGUAGCCAACAUUUUGACCGCCUCCAUAGCAGGCAUCAUGUUCUCAGACUCAGCUGUUCCACUACCACAAUGAUCGGAAUCACUGAAGUAGGACAGUGAAAUAUGCCAAGCAUCCUGAUAGAGAUCAUAAGCCCUAUGUUCGAAAUGACCUGCAUUAUGGGAAGUGGAUAAUCUCAUUUUCCAGCUGGACGUUUCAAAGGCCUGUCUGAGGUUUUAUUAAACGUUUCACGUUUAUUUCCGGUCCUUUCUGUACACCUCUUGUUGACAGUUUUACGGCAGCGCAGAUUUAACAGUUGUAACUUAGUUUUUGAAUGCGUAGAUCGAGUUCGAGUCGCUUUUGAAUUUUGAUAUGUUGACAUGCCGUAUAAACCACAUUUACCAUUUAUAUCAGAUUUUAAAAAAUCAUAAUAUAUAAUUUUAUAGAAAUCAUUACACCUACCAAUAUCUUUGUUCGUUGCUUACUUUUCCUCCGUGAAGAGACUGUGUUUCUCGUUUUCUAAGGUGCAACUCAAAAGGGGAAAUGACCCCGUGGCGUCACCCACAAAGAGUCUUCAAAGGAGAAAAUGUAUAUAUGUAUAUAGUGCUCCAUAGUGAUUACAAUAAAUAGAUUUUGCCGAAAUUUGAGGGCACCCAAAAACUUAAGUAGCGACUGCUGUUGAGCAUUAGCAUUAUAUACUGCUUUUGUGUUGAUGUUAUAAAGGGAAUUUAUAAGGGUGUAUGAACAAGUAUGUAAGUGUAUAAAUAGUGGCGUAUAUCCAUGCGCACAUGUGCAUAUUAUGUUAGCAUGCGUGUAUGCUUGUAUGCGGGUGCUUAUGUGUGCAGGUGAAACAGUAUGUUCUAUUUUAUGCGUCCGAUAUCUGUUUGCUUUCGCCGUGAUCCAAAAAGAGAAAGAAUCCAGGGUUGGUUGUUUUAUUCCCCAACAUAAUUGCGGAAUUUUUUAUUUGAAAUAAACAAAUGUUGCAUUUUA